rnacentral:piRNA from 1 species
CCAAAUCCCAACACCACAGACCUCCACUGC